UGUGUAAUAAGAACUAAAGCAUCUAUUACCACAACUAUGACCCUCAAACAAAAUACAUGCAUAGCUGUGACUUUGACAACUACAUCUCCAACAACUACUGAUUCAAUAUCAAUUGCAUCUACAACUGAGGCUUCUACAGAAAAUGCACCUUCAACAACAGCUACAGGUCAAACAGCAAUGUCAUCUUCAAUGACAACAGAAACGGGAGCUUCCACAACCACAGAUGUGAUCCCCACAACCACACUCAUAUCCUUACCAAGUACAACAACAGCACCAUCAACAGAAACUGAGGCUUCCACAACCAUGGAGGUAACCCCCACAACCGCUCUCAUAUCCUCACCAAGUACAACUGCACCUUCAACAGCAACAAAAGCUGCUUCAACAACAACAGCACCGUCAACAGAAACUGAAGUUUCCACAACCAUAGAUGGGAUCCCCACCUCCACCCUCAUAUCCUCAUCAAGUUCAACUGCUCCUUCAAUGGCAACAAAUGCUGCUUCAACAACUACAGCACCACCAACAGAAACGGAAGCUUCCACAACCAUAGAUGUGACCCGCACAACCACUCUCAUAUCCUCACCAAGUACAACAACAACAACAGCACCAUCAACAGAAACGGAGGCUUCCACAACCAUAGAUGUGAUCCCCAGAACCACACUUAUAUCCUCAGCAAGUACAACUGCACUUUCAACAGCAACAAAUGAUGCUUCAACAACAACAGCACCAUCAACAGAAACUGAGGCUUCCACAACCAUAGAUGUGAUCCCCAGAACCACACUUAUAUCCUCAGCAAGUACAACUGCACUUUCAACAGCAACAAAUGAUGCUUCAACAACAACAGCACCAUCAACAGAAACUGAGGCUUCCACAACCAUAGAUGUGAUCCCCAGAACCACACUUAUAUCCUCAGCAAGUACAACUGCACUUUCAACAGCAACAAAUGAUGCUUCAACAACAACAGCACCAUCAACAGAAACUGAGGCUUCCACAACCAUAGAUGUGAUCCCCAGAACCACACUUAUAUCCUCAGCAAGUACAACUGCACUUUCAACAGCAACAAAUGAUGCUUCAACAACAACAGCACCAUCAACAGAAACUGAAGCUUCCACAACCAUAGAUGUGAUGCCCACAAUCACCCUCAUAUCCUCAUCAAGUUCAACUGCACCUCCAACAGCAAGAAAUGCUGCUUCAACAACAACAGCACUAUCAACAGAAACCGAAGCUUCCAAAACCAUAGAUGUGAUCCCCACAACCACUCUCAUAUCCUCACCAAGUACAACAACAGCACCAUCAACAGAAACUGAAGUUUCCACAACCAUAGAUGGGAUCCCCACAAGCACCCUCAUANNNNNNNNNNNNAGAAACGGAAGCUUCCACAACCAUAGAUGUGAUCCCCACAACCACCCUCAUAUCUUCACCAAGUAAAACAACAACAGCACCAUCAACAGAAACUGAGGCUUCCACAACCAUAGAUGUGAUCCCCAGAACCACACUUAUAUCCUCAGCAAGUACAACUGCACUUUCAACAGUAACAAAUGAUGCUUCAACAACAACACCACCAUCAACAGUAACUGAAGCUUCCACAACCAUAGUUGUGAUCCCCACAACCACCCUCAUAUCCUCAACAAGUACAACUGCACCUUCAACAGCAAGAAAUGCUGCUUCAACAACAACAGCACCAUCAACAGAAACUGAAGCUUCCACAACCAUAGAUGUGAUCCCCACAACCACCCUCAUAUCCUCAACAAGUACAACUGCACCUUCAACAGCAAGAAAUGCUGCUUCAACAACAACAGCACCAUCAACAGAAACGGAAGCUUCCACAACCAUAGAUGGGAUCCCCACAACCACCCUCAUAUCCUCACCAAGUACAACUGUACCUUCAACGGCAACAAAUGCUGCUUCAACAACAACAGCACCACCAACAGAAACGGAAGCUUCCACAACCAUAGAUGUGACCCGCACAACCACUCUCAUAUCCUCACCAAGUACAACAGCAACAGCACCAUCAACAGAAACUGAGGCUUCCACAACCAUAGAUGUGAUCCCCACAUCCACACUUACAUCCUCACCAAGUACAACUGCACCUUCAACAGCAAGAAAUGCUGCUUCAACAACAACAGCACCAUCAACAGAAACUGAAGCUUCCACAUUCAUAAAUGUGAUCCCCACAACCACCCUCAUAUCCUCAUCAAGUACAACUGCAGCUUCAACAGCAAGAAAUGAAAUUUCAACAACAAAUGAAGCUUUAACCACCACAGCAGUGAAUCCCACAACUAUGCCUGUAUUCUCAGUACCUAUAGCAACAGAAAAUGCUGCUCCAACAGAGACACCAUCUUCAACAAUAAGAAUUGAAACUUACACAACCACAGCUGUGACCCCUACAACCACACUCAUAUUCUCACCAACUACAACUGCACCUUUAACAGCAACAAAUGCUGCUCCAACAACAAUAGCACAGUCUUCAACAACUGACGCUUCAACAACCACAGACUGGAACCCCACAACCAUGCCUGCAUUCUCUGCACCUCCAGCAACAGACAAUGUUGCUCUAACAACAACUCCACUGUCUUCGACAACUGAAGCUUCUACUACCACAACUGUGAACCCCACAACCACUCUUAUAUUUUCAGAAACUACAACAACAGCAAAAGCUGCCCCAACAACACCAUUGUCAACAAUAAAUGAAGCUUCAUCCACCACAGCAGUGAACCCGACAACCACAUCUGUAUCCUCAGUACCUAUGGUAACAGAAAAUGUUGCUCCAACAGACACACCAUCUUCAACAAUAGCAGCUGAAGUUUAUACAACCACAGCUGUGAGCCCCACAACCAUACUCAUAUCCUCACCGACUACAACUGCACCCUCAACAGCAACAAAUGCUGCCUCAACUGCAGCAGCACCAUUUUCAACAACUGAAGCUCCAACAACCGCAGCCAGGAAUCCCACCACCAUGCUUGUAUUCUCUGUACCUCCAGCAACAGAAAAUGCAGCUCCAACAACAACUCCACUGUCUUCGACAACUGAAGCUUCUGCUACCACAGCUGUGAGCCCCACAACAACUUUUAUAUUUUCAGAAACUACAACAACAGCAAAAGCUGCCACAACAACACCAUUGUCAACAACAAAUGAAGCUACAACCACCACAGCAGUGAACCCCACAACCACACCUGUAUUCUCAGUACCUAUGGCAACAGAAAAUGUUGCUCCAACAGACACACCAUCUUCAACAAUAGCAGCUGAAGUUUAUACAACCACAGCUGUGAGCCCCACAACCAUACUCAUAUCCUCACCAACUACAACUGCACCCUCAACAGCAACAAAUGCUGCCUCAACUGCAGCAGCACCAUUUUCAACAACUGAAGCUCCAACAACCGCAGCCAGGAAUCCCACCACCAUGCUUGUAUUCUCUGUACCUCCAGCAACAGAAAAUGCAGCUCCAACAACAACUCCACUGUCUUUGAUGACUGAAGCUUCCACAACCAUAGAUGUGACCCGCACAACCACACUUACAUCCUCACCAAGUACAACAGCAACAGCACCAUCAACAGAAACUGAGGCUUCCACAACCAUGGAUGUGAUCCCCACAACCACACUUACAUCCUCACCAAGUACAACUGCACCUUCAACAGCAAGAAAUGCUGCUUCAACAACAACAGCACCAUCAACAGAAACUGAAGCUUCCACAUUCAUAAAUGUGAUCCCCACAACCACCCUCAUAUCCUCAUCAAGUACAACUGCAGCUUCAACAGCAAGAAAUGAAAUUUCAACAACAAAUGAAGCUUUAACCACCACAGCAGUGAAUCCCACAACUAUGCCUGUAUUCUCAGUACCUAUAGCAACAGAAAAUGCUGCUCCAACAGGGACACCAUCUUCAACAAUAACAAUUGAACCUUACACAACCACAGCUGUGACCCCUACAACCACACUCAUAUUCUCACCAACUACAACUGCACCUUUAACAGCAACAAAUGCUGCUCCAACAACAAUAGCACAGUCUUCAACAACUGACGCUUCAACAACCACAGACUGGAACCCCACAACCAUGCCUGCAUUCUCUGCACCUACAGCAACAGAAAAUGCUGCUCCAACAACUCCCUUGUCUUUGACAACUAAAGCUUCUGCUACCCAAGCUGUGAACCCCACAACCACUCUUAUUUCUUCAGAAUCUACAACAACAGCUGCUCCAACAGCACCAUUGUCAACAACAAAUAAAGCUACAACCACCACAGCAGUGAAACCCACAACAACGCCUGUAUUCUCUCUACAUCCAGCAACAGAAAAUGUUGCUCCAACAACAACUCCACAGUCUUCGACAACUGAAGCUUCUACUACCAAAGCUGUGAACCCCACAACCACUCUUAUGUCCUCAACAACUGCACCUACAACAACAACAAAGGCUGCUACAGCACAAUCUUUGACCACUGAAGGUUAUAAAACCACAGCUGUGAGCCCCACAACCACAGAAAAUGCUGCUCCAACAAAGACACCAUCUUCAGCAAUAACAACUGAAGCUUAUACAACCACAGAUGGGAACCCCACCACCAUGCCUGUAUUCUCUGCACCUCCAGCAACAGAAAAUGCUGCUCCAACAACUCCAUUGUCUUUGACAACUAAAGCUUCUGCUACCCAAGCUGUGAACCCCACAACCACUCUUAUUUCUUCAGAAUCUACAACAACAGCUGCUCCAACAGCACCAUUGUCAACAACAAAUAAAGCUACAACCACCACAGCAGUAAACCCCACAACAACGCCUGUAUUCUCAGUACCUACAGCAACAGAAAAUGCUGCUCCAACAGAGACACCAUCGUCAACAAUUAAAAGUGAAGCUUAUACAACCACAGCUGUGACCCCAACAACCACACUCAUAUCUUCACCAACUGCAACUGCACAAUCUUCAACAACUGAAGCGUCAACAACCGCAGCCAGAAACCCCACAACCAUGCCUGUAUUCUCUCUACAUCCAGCAACAGAAAAUGUUGCUCCAACAACAACUCCACAGUCUUCGACAACUGAAGCUUCUACUACCAAAGCUGUGAACCCCACAACCACUCUUAUAUCCUCAACAACUGCACCUACAACAACAACAAAGGCUGCUACAGCACAAUCUUUGACCACUGAAGGUUAUAAAACCACAGCUGUGAGUCCCACAACCACAGAAAAUGCUGCUCCAACAAAGACACCAUCUUCAGCAAUAACAACUGAAGCUUAUACAACCACAGCUGGGAACCCCACCACCAUGCCUGUAUUCUCUGCACCUCCAGCAACAGAAAAUGCUGCUCCAACAACUCCAUUGUCUUUGACAACUAAAGCUUCUGCUACCCAAGCUGUGAACCCCACAACCACUCUUAUUUCUUCAGAAUCUACAACAACAGCUGCUCCAACAGCACAAUUGUCAACAACAAAUAAAGCUACAACCACCACAGCAGUGAACCCCACAACAACGCCUGUAUUCUCAGUACCUACAGCAACAGAAAAUGCUGCUCCAACAGAGACGCCAUCGUCAACAAUUAAAAGUGAAGCUUAUACAACCACAGCUGUGACCCCAACAACCACACUCAUAUCUUCACCAACUGCAACUGCACAAUCUUCAACAACUGAAGCUUCAACAACCGCAGCCAGAAACCCCACCACCAUGCCUGUAUUCUCUGCACCUUCAGCAACAGAAAAUGCUGCUCCAACAACUCCAUUGUCUUUGACAACUAAAGCUUCUGCUACCCAAGCUGUGAACCCCACAACCACUCAGAUAUCAACAGAAACUACAAUAACAGCAAAAGCUGCUCCAACAACACCAUUGUCAACAACAAAUGAAACUUUAACAACCAAAGCAAUAAACCCCACAACCAUGCCUGUGUUCCCAGCACCUACAAAUGCACCUCCAGCAACAGAAAAUGUGGCUCUAGCAACAACAGCACAGCCUUCAACAAAUGAAGCUUCUACAACCACAGUUGUGAAUCCUACAACAAUGCCUGUAUUUCCAGAACCUCUAACAAAUGCUGCACCACCAACAACAGCAGUAACUCCAACAACUGCUGCAGCAACAACAUUUAUCACACCCACAACCAUGCCAAUGUUAUCAGAAUUUACGAAAUCAUUUCUAACAACCUCACCUUUGCUAAAUGCAACAACAAAUGCAGUGACUCUGACUAGUCUUUCAGAAACACAAAAUCCUGCUCCAACUGCAUUUGUAUCUCAAAGCACAAAAAUAACUGUGUCUUUAGCAACCACUGAAACUACUGCACCAACCAUUAUAUUUGUAACUCAAGAAACCACAAUGCCAUUGUCAACGUCAGCUACUGGUGCCUCGCAAAUUACAAGUGUGACUCCAAUGACUACAUCUGGAGUUAAAACAAGUAUUCCU
rnacentral:lncRNA from 1 species